UGAGGCCAGAUCACGUUGGAAAAGCCGGUUACCGUACGAUCACCGAAGUUAAGCGACGUUGAGCCUGGUCAGUAGCUAGAUGGGUGACCAUUUGGGAAUACUAGGUAU